UUCCCCUACAGCUACUUCCAAGGCCCCAGCUGUGUUCCCGCUGUCUCCUUGUGGCCAAGACAUCUCCACCGCCUCCCUAGUUAGCAUGGCUUGUCUUAUCAAAGGUUACUUUCCCGAACCAGCCACGGUGCAGUGGAACUCAGGAGCCAUCACCAGCGGAAUCCACGACUUCCCUUCCGUUUUGCAUUCGUCCAGCCACUAUACCCACAGCAGCCUGCUCACCGUCCCCGUCAGCCAGUGGAAAUCAGGGUCAUUCCAGUGCAACGUUGACCAUGCAGCCACCCACUCCAAAAUCAACAAAAACAUUGAACGCUAUGCAGCCCUUGAACCAGUGGCCCCCAAGGUCUACCUGCUCCAUUCCUCAUGCAACGAGAUAGAUGGCCUCAUAUACCUGGUGUGCAUUGUUCAAGGUUUCUUUCCCUCAAAAAUUGUUGUUGAAUGGCUGGUGGGCAGCCACCAUGGAUUGCUGGCUCCACACACCGAACUUCCCAAGCGAGAUGUAAAUGGGCACACUUUCAGUACCACCAGCAAGGUCAACAUUUCCAAAGAAGCUUGGCUGGAAGGGAAUGUUUACUACUGCCAAGUAACCCAUGAGGCGUCACAAACCAAGAUGAAAAACAGAGCCAAGAAAUGUGAAGAUGACAGCACUCACUCCUGCACUGGGGCUAACACCUACCUCCUGCCCCCACGUCCAAAGGACUUGUACAUAAACAAAAAUGCCAAGCUCUCCUGUGUGACUGUCAGCCUGCAGAAGGAAGAGGGGUUGAAAGUAACCUGGUCACGUGAGAAGCAAGAAGCCAUGCAUCCUGAAUUAGUGGAGGUGACAGAAGAAAUGAAUGGAACCUUCACUGCUGUCAGCCGCCUCCCCGUCUCCACCCAAGACUGGGAAUCAGGAGACGCUUUCACCUGUUCAGUGGAAUAUCCAGGUUUGACUGGUCCCAUCGUUAAGACGAUUUCCAAGAUCAGAGAAAACAGCAAGGAACCCAUCAUCCACAUCUACCGUCCCAUUGAAGCGGCACAGAACCCUCGCAAUUCAGUUCUGAUCACCUGCUUAAUGAGGUGCUUCUACCCAGAGGUGAUUGAUGUCCAGUGGCAAAAGAAUGGCAAUGCCAUUUCAGAAGAUGACUAUGUCAACACCCCACCUGUGAAGGACAAGGGAGACGAUGGCUUCAUUUUGUUUAGCAAAUUGGCUAUCCAAGCAGAAGAAUGGAAUGAAGGGAAUGACUUCAGCUGUGUGGUUGUCCAUGGGGGCCCUGGAAUGAAGGUCACCCAGAGGAGCAUAGAGAAAUCUUCGGGUAAACGUUGAAGACUCCCAUCAACGUGCAGGGUCUUCCUAGAUUUGUCUCUCCCAUUGUCAGAUCCAAUCCUUGUAAAUAAUUUCCAGGCUUAUGUGUUUGGCUCCUGCCUAAAUAAAAGCAAACCAACUCAGAGGUA